rnacentral:rRNA from 1 species
GACGUAGGGGGCCAGCGUUGCUCGGAAUCACUGGGCGUAAAGGGCGCGUAGGUGGUGGCUUAAGCGUGCGGUGAAAGCUCGGAGCUCAACUCCGAGUCGGCCGUGCGAACUGGGCUCACUGGAGCAUAGUAGAGGCAGGUGGAAUUCCGGGUGUAGCGGUGGAAUGCGUAGAUAUCAGGAGGAACACCGAUGGCGAAGGCAGCCCCCUGGGCUGACACUGACGCUCAGGCACGAAAGCGUGGGGAGCAAACAGG